rnacentral:rRNA from 1 species
AAACCAGCACCUCAAGUGGUCAGGAGGAUUAUUGGGCCUAAAGCAUCCGUCGCCUGCUGCAUAAGUUUUCGGUUAAAUCCAUACGCUCAACGUAUGGGCUGCCGGGAAUACUGUGCAGCUAGGGAGUGGGAGAGGUAGACGGUACUCAGUAGGAAGGGGUAAAAUCCUUUGAUCUAUUGAUGACCACCUGUGGCGAAGGCGGUCUACCAGAACACGUUCGACGGUGAGGGAUGAAAGCUGGGGGAGCAAACCGGAUUAGAAACCCGAGUAGUCC